UACGUAGGGGGCUAGCGUUGUCCGGAAUCAUUGGGCGUAAAGAGCGUGUAGGCGGCCCGGUAAGUCCGCUGUAAAAGUCAAAGGCUCAACCUUUGAAUGUCAGUGGAUACUGCCGGGCUAGAGUCCGGAAGAGGCGAGUGGAACUCCUGGUGUAGCGGUGAAAUGCGCAGAUAUCGGGAAGAACACCCGUGGCGAAGGCGGCUCUCUGGGACGGUACUGACGCUGAGACUCGAAAGCGUGGGGAGCGAACAGG
rnacentral:rRNA from 1 species